GCCCUGGAGCUCAAGGAUGCCCAGGCUGAAAAGGAGCCAGGGGAGAGCAGGCCUAACCCCAGCUACCUGAAGUCCAAGAAGGGGCAGUCUACCUCCCGUCAUAAAAAAAUAAUAUUCAAGAGAGAGGGGCCUGAUUCAGACUGACAUCCUCUGACUCUAGUCUCCCACCCCCACCCCUGCCCUCCUUCCCUAGCAUUUUGGAACUUGGGUACUUGAAUCCCUGCUUAGUAUAGGUGUGCCUCAGAAAUGCCUAGGAAUUCUGCCAUUUGUCUUGUCUAUAGAGUUUCACUCAAGUCAGCCUGCACUGGUGUUCUGGGGAGAGGUGAGAGCUAAGACAUACUGGCUUGGCUUUAACUGUGAAGAGUGGGAGAUGGAAGAAAAUGUUCUUGCAUGUAAGGGUUAACCUACAACCAGCCAUCCAAUGGGUUGGAAGCCCUUCUUCAACCAUGCUGACCAGAAAAGCUGUCUUCAAGUUGUUUAAUUUCUCCUAACUUCAAUACCCACAUCUAUAAAACGUUGAUCAUCGUACCUACCUCACGGGUUUGUUGUGAGGGUUAAUAAAAUAAUGUAUGUCUGGCUUUGAACUGCCUUGUAUUAGGAGGUGGCUGGGACUUGGCCCCCUUGUGGUUGUUGGUUUCCUGCCCCUGUUAGGGCGAUGUGUUGAUGGUUUCCAAGAUUGAGCAGCUGAUUAAGGGGAAGGAGUUGCCAAGUCUCUGCUGGCCAGCCAAAUCCUGUCCAACCUCUUGUUGAACCUUGGCACCUGAAAUGAAAUCUCAUCCCAUCCCACAGCCUUGAGGAUUCCAUCUCAGGCUUAUAUAGGGUCUGUGUCCACCAAGAUCUGUUUUACUUCCCCCAUAUGCUCAGGGUCAGGUUUUUGUAGUUUUGGGGGUUUUUAAAUUUUUUUUAUUUUUUUAUUUGUUUGUUGGCACCCUGCAAGACAAAUCUGCAUUUGUCACCCCAUACCCCUUCUCUCAUUUUAUAUCCCCUUUUUAUAUCGAUUUCUUGUUUUACAAUAAAACUUUGCUACCAAAAAAAAAAAAAGAUGAAACACACAUGG
rnacentral:lncRNA from 1 species